UUUUUUUUUUUUUUUUUUUUUUUUUGCUGUGCUUGGUUAAAUCCAUUCUGAUUCUGAUUGUGCCCUGAGGAAUUCUAAAUUUAUGAGGUAAGGUCUCUUUUUCAUUUCUUGGGGCAGGAAUUUGUGAAUUGUCAGUCCUAUUUCAUUUGAGCUCUGUUCCAUAAUCCAAUCCUCUGCCUGCUAUAGAUACAACAAAAAUUUCCUCAUAUAGCAGAAAAUAGUGGCAUUCUCUUUUUAAAUUAAAAAAAUAGGGGGGAAAAAGGGAAAGAAAGAGCAUAGUAUGGGCAACUACAUCAUCCAACAGUAAAUUUGAACCCCAGUUUUUCUAAAUACAACCUUGUGUACACAAACCUUGCUGGCAUUAACAGCAUUGGGCUCUUGGCACUAUGCUUAUUUGUCCAUUUGACUGAGUAGGAGGAAGGACAUGGUCCUUUAGGCCAGUAUGACAGUGUAAUUGAUACUCCCCACGGGACCUACAAUGCCAGUAUGUCAAGUGAUGGUAAUUUUUUAGAAGUACAAUUUGUUGUUAUCACCAAGAGUUUGCUUAUUGAGGAGUUGGUAUCUAAGGACAUACCCUCUAAAACCAUACUGUCCUUAGUUAUCUUGAAACUAGUAUGCCUAUCAUGUUCCUGAGGGUAUUAUUUAAACCUCACUACCUAAAAGUAGUCAGAUCCCACUGCUUCUUACUAAAUUGCACAGCAUGUCCUCAGCUCCUUGUGAUUUUUCUAUAACAACUACGGUUCAAACCUAAAUGUCUACAGAAAUUUCCUUUCCAUUUGUUUCUCUGAAUCUCAUUUGUAUUCAGAUAUGAACUGUAAUAUGGUGUUAUUAGCCUCGAAGUAGUUCUUCUGAGCUGUAGAUGUUUUGUGUGCUGUUUAAUUAUGAGUAGAUAUCACCCAACCCUAAUCCCCAUGCAAUUUUACCUAUUUUUCAAAGAUACCAGAAACAUUUGUACAAGAACUUAAAUAGUGGGAAGAGAGUUGCCUUUUUUCUAAAAGGAAUUACAAAGAAAAGCUCUGACAUAUAGCUAACAAGGCUUUGGGACUGGUCCUGCAAAUAGAUUGAGUAACCUUUUGGGACAAUUUUGGGCUUCCUCUUUUUCUUAUGAAAAUAAAGUCUUAGGAAUUCUUAGAUCCCACAGAUUUAAUUGUGGGGAAAUAGAUAGCACAAACUUAUUGUGUCUUAAGAUGGUCAAGGGUAAUGUAAAAUUCUUAUUCUUGAAAAAAAUAUUUCCAUUAAAAGAAAAUUCUUCCUCUAAGGAAGCCACUUUUGGAGAGGCAUAUUGGUCACUGAAAGCACUUUAGGAUAGUUGAUAGACAGGGAAUACAUACUUGAGGAUAUUUGAAGGUAACGUUUCUUUAUAGGGUAACAGUCUCUUUGGGAAUUUUAUCCAAAGAUACUUCUUAAGGAGAAAACUUUCAGUUUAGCAGCCAUUUAUUAAAGUAUCCACUUGGCGUUCUUGUCGUGGUGCAGCAGAAACUGAAUCUGACUAGGAACCAUGAGGUUUCGGGUUCAGUCCCUGGCUUUGCUCAGUGGGUUAAGGAUCUGGCGUUGGCAUGAGCUGUGGUGCAAGUUGCAGACGCAGCUCAGAUCUGACUGUUGCUGUGGUGUAGGCCGGCGGCUACAGCUCCUAUUAGACUCCUAGCCUGGGAACCUCCAUGUGCCUGGGGUGCGGCCCCCAAAAAAAGACAAAAAAAAAUUUUUUUUUUUUAAGUAUCCACUUGGUAUCCAUAGUGACAGCCUAAUUGGGAAAUACUGAGCCUUCCUUUGUGUUAGGCCCUGAGCUAGGGGUCAAAGGAUGCAGUCUUUGAAACUGCAGCAUGGGGGUGAGGGGCAAGAAAACUAGGGUUAUUAUAAGUGAUGAGGGUGUGGCUGAGAACCUGUCGUACCAUUUAGUGCCUUUACAUCAGGGAAUAGGCAGUUUCUCUUUGAGGACAUUCCAAAAAAAAAAAAAAAAAAAAAUCUCCAUAGGUGGCAUCGAAAGAGAUAAUGGCCUAUUUAAAUGUACAUGUGUUUUAUGCAUAUCCUUACCUUGAUUUGGGGUGUCUUCCAAGCCAGACUCUUCAGAGCCAGUCCUUAUCACACAGUUUCAUGAGAUAAGUACUGUUAUUACCCACACUUGACAGAUUAAGAAACUGAUACACAGAGAGGAUCAGGAACUCACCCAGUAUCACACUAGUGUGGGGGUGGGCUGGGGCCUGAAUUGAGCCCUAACCAAUUUGACUCCAGAACUCUCAAUCUCUCUGCAGACAGGGACCACUAAGUGAAAAGAAACUUUAAUGUGAGGUAUAAACAUGAUUCCUUUAGCAUGAAGUUGUGUAAAUUUAAGAUUUUAAGCAGCAGGGAGGAAACUUCAGUCCUGGUUAAAAGUUCUGGUAUUACAAAUAAUAAUACCAAGUUUUUGGUUAAAGCUUGUAUUAGUGUUAAACCUUUACUGGCAUUAGGAUACUAAAGCAGCCAACAAAUGAACAUUUUUGGGCAAACUCGGAGUGCUUUUUUGAAUGGGUAGAGUCAGCUUCCCCUUUUACAUUUAGUCAGAAGAUACCUGUAAUUAAUAAUUUCCAUUUAGUUCCCAGUCACUUUUUGCCCACCAGAUCAACCCCCGUGCCCCCCACCCCCAGCCCCAAUAGCACUUCUCUCACUUCAGUUUCUUAUCUGCUUCAGAGCCCUCACUUUGGAGCCCUUGCUCCAAGAAGUGGCCUUUGUGCUUCAGCUAUCCGAGGUCCCUUUGCCCUGUUUAUCCUUUUCCUUUAUGGCUCCAGCAGACCCUGGGGCAGGGUGACCUUAUUAAAGACUCUGUGAAACAAGGUUGUCUGUCAUCUCUUUGGAGACACCUCUCCCCUCCUCUGCUGCUAAUUCUGAAAGGCACUCUGCUUAUCCACUCCUUCCAUCUCAAAGAAAGGACUGGUUGGAGUAGGAACACGUGGCCAUUGCUCCCAUUGCUCAGGGUCAGCAACCGGUUACUGUAUGGUGAUUGGGUAGUGCCAAAUCUCAUCCCACCUCCCCACCUUGAAGCAGCUGAUCUUGUUUCAGUGUUCCGUGCCUCCCCUCUUGGAUAGAGGAAGGUGGGCAUAUUAAAAAUUGCUCAUGGCCCUCCACUCUGUCUCUUUCCAACUUUGCCUUUGUUAUCUUCUUAGCAUUUUAAACUCACUCCCAGCUCGGCUGUUUCCUUUCCUUCUAUUUUCGGGGUUCUUCCAAGCAAGCAGCUGUAACUUUGUCCUCUCCACCCAGCCCCCUCACCCGCCCCCAGGGAAACAAGGAGAGAGUACCCUCUCCCUGUGGGGUUAGGCUUCAGUGGUUGUAACCCGAGAAAAGAAGGAAAAAGGCCAGGCCUAUGAGCCAGCAGUGAGCUCAGAGCGGCCUGCCAGAGGCUGAGAACCUUGCUCACUCAGCGCCUCCCUCUUUUCUUUCCCCUCCCCUGCUGCAGCAGGGCCCUCCCCCAUCCGCACACACGGGCUGCUGGGUAAGUGGCAAGAUGGCUCCCCUGCAUGUCUCCGGCUGAUCGCCGCCGCUCCGCCAAUACAAUAGAGCCAGCCACUACCAGCAGCCUGGCCCUCUUCCUCCUCCUUCUCCGGAGAGACCAAGCCAGCUGAAUUCGGGGUUUGCCAAAGGGAUAAACAGCACUUCCAGGGGGAGAAAAAAAAUCAUGUUAUCAGAAAGCAAAGAAGGUGAGGAGAAGGAGGAAGUGACCAUGGACACAAGUGAAAACAGACCUGAAAAUGAGGUUCCAGAGCCCCCCAUGCCUAUUGCAGACCAAGUCAGCAAUGAUGACCGCCCAGAGGGCAGUGCAGAGGAUGAGGAGAAGAAAGAGGUAAAUAUUCAAGCCACCUGCUCGGGUGGGUGGGCAGGAGUGGACCUGGGGGAAAGAGUAGACCACUCUGGUGAUCCCUCUUACACAGUGGGAUAGCUUAAAGAAGGGACUAGGCAAAGACUUGGAUCAGGAUAGGGCCAAGGGAGAAUUCGCUGGUUUAGUAAGGGAGACCCCUUGUGAUGGGGACAGGGCUCAUUCAUUCCCCUUUCCUUGUUGGGAAAGUAAUGCAGUGCAGAGUCUUGGAAGUUUGUAAUCACUGGGAAAGUUAUCUAAAACCCUUUAUCUAAAACCCAGGCUCAGCUUUCCCUGCCACCUUUUCUAGCUUCUCCCUGUGUUAACCCCUUUAGCUUUCCCUCCUUUUUAAAAGUGUGUUGGAGCUCAACGCCAUCUAGUGGGCUUUGGUGGUUCUCAGCUGACCACCAUGCUGAGGAAUUUUUGUUCCUCAUCUGCCCCCCAGUGGUCUCGUUGCAGAGAUGUAGCUACUUAGAAGCCACCACCUGAAGGCCCCUUCCCCAUUUUUGUGACCCCUCUACUUUUUGGCGUAUGUAGUGUGUCCUGCACCCAAUUCAGGGGACUCCCCCCGUCAGAGCCAGCGAAGUCUUCUUGGCUCUUAAAGUAAUUAGAGAAUGGAUUAGCUGGGUUUGGGAGUAGGGUAACAGGGUGGGAGGGACUGUUGUGUGUGUAGCCUUUCUUUGGUGUGUGUUGCGGGGGUGGGGGCCGGUGAAAGUGAUUUGAUGUGCAGAAUAUUAUUUAUUACAAGGUCCUUCUUCCCCGUAAAACUUUGUCCAAGUACCUCAUGUACGGUAAUCCGCCCGUAAAAUAUAACCCUGCCCAACUGGCCAAUCGCUGAUGCCGCCUCUUCCUCUGGACCCACCCGCUGCUACUGAGCUGCCCAGUCAGAGCUGAGUCUGCUAUCCAGGUGUCUUGGCCAGAGGGGGGCAUGUGUAUGGGAUCCUGUGAUGGGCCCCCUUUUGCCUCCCUGCCUUGCUUACAUCAGGGGGCCAAGAAGAGCACUGUUCUGGAGAGACUUGUAUUGAGAAAGCAAAAAGCAUUUGGAAAGGGGUGGACUUGCAUCAUCUCCCUCUUUGGGACACCCCAAGAAGAGCUUGUGUCAGUGCUGGGGCGCCUGCUCAUAUGCCCUUGCCCUUUUGAGGACUGUGGGUUGCCUUGUUUGCUACAGACUGUUGGGAUCCCCAUCUAGGGCACCAAGACCUCCUAAAGAGUCAAUCUUUGUGAUCACAGUGCCAUGCUGUAAAAUACCGAGUGGGGCUCUCGGCUUAAGCUGUGACGACUAGGAACCCUGCAGAGAAGUCUAGGGUCUGAGCCCAGGGAUUUAAUGCUGAUGACAGCCCAGCCAUGUAUCACCACUUGCUCAUCAGAUGGACUUUCCUUUGGUCCCUGUUGUCCAUGGUGAAGGGCAGCAUGUUGGUUGCUCCAGCUUCUCCUCCAUCCCUGGAGGCAGGGGCUCAUCCAUCCACCUGACUGGAACCACUGUCUCAGCUGGAGUCCCUGAGGAGAUGCCACACACCACUCUCAGAAGAAAAGUAUUGUGACCUUGCUGCUGAAUGUGUGCCAGGUCCUGGGGCUAUCCACCUACUACCCCAGGCUGCCUUCAACAGCGGCUCCAUGAUCCCACUCGGUGAGAGGACCCCCUCCCCAAGUUACAGGCAGAGGAGAAAGGGACUCUGGAGUCAUCACCUGGAUUCCAAGUAUUGGGUGGUGGUAUUGCUGCAGCUUGCCACUGGUGGACAUAGGGUCCUGCCUGCUUCUCACGAUAAAAGGCCAGGACCAUUCCUGCUACUCAGAGGCCAUCUCAUCAGGGACUGCAAGAUGAUGCCCCUACAGGGCCAGGACUGAUGUCUCUGCCCCUUUUCCCCCCGUACCCCUCGCUGAGCCUGGCCACCGCCAGUGAACUGUCUUGACAUCAUGGAAACUGGGCAGCGUCCCCCCACACGUUUCCCUCCCGCCCCCCCUGCGCCCCUGGGAGGACUCUGGCUGUGCCGUGCUGACCACCACGCCGUGCGCCCACCUUUUUUGCCAACCCAACCCCCCACCAAUUGCACAGCGCCUAGCAGGGAGGGCUCAUUCUGAUUGGACCGGCGGUUGACUAGAUACAGUACACAGUGAGGUGCGAUUGGCUGAACUGAAGAUCCCAGGUGUGAGAUGGUACCUGGAACAUUUGUCAUAUUCCUAGUUUAUUUUCCUCUUUAUUUUCUUCUUUCCCUUCUUUUUAAAAUCUUUUAUUUUAAUUUUUUCUUUAUCUUUUUUUUCUGAUUUCUUUAUUGGAUUUAUUUAUUUAUUUGGUUCAUGUUUUUCCUGUUUUAAUUAAAACUUUUUUUUUUUUUUUCUCACUAACUUACCCAUCGAGAGCGGCCCAGCUAGGGGUCAGGCUGGCCCUUAACGGAGACCAAGGAGACUUGGUUAGACGACACAAACGGGGCUGGGGGGUGGAUGGGAGAAAGGGAUUUCAUUAAGAGGGUUCCUGCCCUUCCCUUUAGAAGGGUGGUAGGUCUUAGUUUUUCCAGAAAUAAGCACUUAAGUCUAAAAAUACUUUAUUCCUCUUUUUGCUCUGUCUUCCCCUUUUUGCUCUGUCCACAGCCUUUCUCCCACUGAGUAUUUGGGGCAGAAACUUGCUCAAAAGCAAGUUUGGAAGAUUCUGGUCCUUGGCAGAGUCCCUAAGGCAAAAGCCCUGUUUGGAGAAGAAACAGGCUCUGCUUGAGCUCCAUACAGUGGUUGAAAAGUCUGAAACUCCCUGGAGAUGGAUUACCCUGCAUAAAGACCUAUCUUUACCAAAGACACCUUUAAAUUCUUUCUGCCAGCCCUUGGCUCAGGAGGCUCCUCUCCAGUGAAUCUGGUGCUGCCCUUUUCUAUAGUGUGGUGAGGAUACAGCAGUUAGUCUGUCUGCUAUCAAAGCCAUUUUCAGUGGAUAUCAGGCUGGGUAUUGAAAAAAGGAAGAGGGUUCCUUUUUGAAGUUGCCAUCCCAAAGUUGGUUUUCCUUGUUUCCUCAUGUUUUCCUUGAGUUAGCAAGAAAGACCUUUAGAAAGACUAGACCACCCAGUUCUGGGCACAGCUUGUUGGGCUUGGCUUCCUCUUGAUCCAUAGAGACAAUGGAAGAGGGCAUGGCCAGUGCCUUUAAAGGACUGGGAGGCUACUGAAAUUCUUCUUUCAGCUUAUUUCUGGUUAAGCUAAUACAUAGGUAUGGUAUGCACUAGAUGACUUUUCCCUGCUGUGAUGUUUGGUUUUAUUUUUUUCUCUAACUUGCAUUGAUUCUGCUUCGUUUUUGCCGUUUGCCGCUUCUGUUUUGGUCUCUGUCUGUCUCUGUGUCUCUCUCUCUCUGUGUCUUUGGAGCCUAUGCUAAGACUGCCCCGUCUAACCUCCUUCCCCCCUCUCUGUGGGGUGUGUCUCUUUCUCUUUUUUUUCCCCUUUUCUUCUCUAUACAGAGUUCGCAGCCCAAAUCAUUCAAGAGGAAGAUCUCCGUUGUCUCAGCUACCAAGGGGGUGCCAGCUGGAAACAGUGACACAGAGGGGGGCCAGCCUGGUCGGAAGCGGCGUUGGGGAGCCAGCACAGCCACCACACAGAAGAAACCCUCCAUCAGUAUCACCACCGAAUCACUCAAGAGCCUCAUCCCCGACAUCAAACCCCUGGCGGGGCAGGAGGCUGUUGUGGAUCUUCAUGCUGACGACUCCAGAAUCUCUGAGGAUGAGACAGAGCGUAAUGGUGACGAUGGGACUCAUGACAAGGGGCUGAAAAUAUGCCGGACCGUCACUCAGGUAGUACCUGCCGAGGGCCAGGAGAACGGGCAGAGGGAAGAGGAGGAAGAAGAGAAGGAGCCUGAAGCAGAAGCCCCUGUACCUCCCCAGGUCUCAGUAGAAGUGGCUUUGCCCCCACCCGUGGAGCAUGAAGUAAAGAAAGUGACUUUAGGAGAUACCUUAACUCGACGUUCCAUUAGCCAGCAGAAGUCUGGAGUUUCCAUUACAAUUGAUGACCCAGUCCGGACUGCUCAAGUGCCCUCCCCACCCCGGGGCAAGAUCAGUAACAUCGUCCACAUCUCCAAUUUGGUUCGUCCCUUCACUUUAGGCCAACUGAAGGAAUUGUUGGGACGUACGGGAACUCUGGUAGAAGAGGCUUUCUGGAUUGACAAGAUCAAAUCUCAUUGCUUUGUAACGUACUCAACAGUAGAGGAAGCAGUUGCCACCCGCACAGCUCUACAUGGGGUCAAAUGGCCUCAGUCCAAUCCCAAAUUCCUUUGUGCUGACUAUGCUGAGCAAGAUGAGCUGGAUUAUCACCGAGGCCUCUUGGUAGACCGACCGUCUGAAACGAAAACAGAGGAGCAGGGGGUACCACGGCCGCUGCACCCCCCGCCCCCUCCCCCAGCCCAGCCACCACAGCACCCCAGGGCAGAGCAGCGGGAACAGGAGCGGGCGGUGCGGGAGCAGUGGGCAGAGCGGGAACGGGAAAUGGAGCGGCGAGAACGAACUCGAUCUGAGCGUGAAUGGGAUCGGGAUAAAGUUCGAGAAGGACCCCGGUCCCGGUCCCGGUCCCGUGACCGCCGCCGCAAGGAACGUGCAAAGUCUAAGGAAAAAAAGAGUGAGAAGAAAGAGAAAGCUCAGGAAGAGCCACCUGCCAAGCUGCUGGACGACCUUUUCCGUAAGACCAAGGCAGCUCCCUGCAUCUAUUGGCUCCCACUGACUGACAGCCAGAUUGUUCAGAAGGAGGCAGAGCGGGCUGAACGGGCCAAGGAGCGGGAGAAGCGGCGAAAGGAGCAAGAAGAAGAGGAGCAGAAGGAGCGGGAGAAGGAGGCGGAGCGGGAACGGACCCGACAGCUGGAAAGGGAGAAGCGGCGAGAGCACAGCCGGGAGAGGGACAGGGAGAGAGACAGGGACAGGGAAAGGGACAGGGGGGAUCGAGAUCGGGAGAGGGAGAGGGAUCGGGAACGAGGCAGGGAGAGGGACCGCAGGGACACCAAGCGCCACAGCAGGAGCCGGAGUCGGAGCACACCUGUGCGGGACCGGGGUGGGCGCCGCUAGCCAGAAAACACUAGGGAGAGCUGCAGGCGUCAGCCACCCUGCCCCAGGGGGUUCAAGGCCACAGAGGGAUAGGUACAAUCUCCACCACCCUGGAACCAGGGGUCUUUCACAUCUUUUGCCCAGUGAUGAAGUAUGGCUGCCACCUGUCCCCACAUACCAAAUGGAGCAGUGGCCAAGAAUCUUCCCCACCACCACCCCGGUAAUCUUAUCUCUUGGGACUUAGCCCUCUCCUCUCUCUCAUUUCCCAUUAAGUCUGUGAGAGGGAAGAACUAGGUGAAGGAGGGAGGUGGUUGGCCCAGAGGUCGGGAGCAGCCAGGAGCCCCAAGCCUCUUGUUUUUCCUCCAUCCUGCUCACCACCUGCUUUGGUACUCGCACCCACUUCUUGGGAACAGCCGGGGCCAGGACUGGGUCACCUAUGAGCUGAAUCAGCAUCUCCUCCUGAGUCCCAGGGCCCCUGCAGUUCCCAGUCUCUUCAGUCCUGCAGCCCUUGCCUCCUGUCCACCGGUUCCACUUUAUAUCCACCUUUUCCUUUUGUUCAAUUUUUAUUUUUAUUUUUUUUUAUUAUUAAAUGAUGUGGUCUAUGGAAAAUAAUAAAUCUGACUUAGUUUUAACUAG